rnacentral:rRNA from 1 species
GACGAACGCUGGCGGCGGGCUUAACACAUGCAAGUCGAACGGUGAAGCGCCUUCCUCUUUGGUUGGUGGGGAAGAGGGGGGGACGGGUGGGUAACACGUGAGUAACCUGCCCCCUUCUUCUGGAUAACCGCAUGAAAGUGUGGCUAAUACGGGAUAUUCCGGGUCUGUCGCAUGGUGGGUUUGGGGAAGAUUUUGUUUCGGUGGGGGCUGGGCUCGGGGCCUAUCAUGUUGUUGGGGGGGUGAUGGCCUACCAAGGCGGUGACGGGUAGCCGGCCUGAGAGGGUGGACGGUCACACUGGGACUGAGACACGGCCCAGACUCCUACGGGAGGCAGCAGUGGGGAAUAUUGCGCAAUGGGCGCAAGCCUGAUGCAGCGACGCCGCGUGAGGGAUGGAGGCCUGCGGGUUGUGAACCUCUUUCGCCAGUGAAGCAGGCCUGCCUCGUUUGUGGGUGGGUUGACGGUAGCUGGAUAAGAAGCGCCGGCUAACUACGUG